rnacentral:rRNA from 1 species
GACGAACGCUGGCGGCGUGCUUAACACAUGCAAGUCGAACGGAAAGGCCCUGCUUUUGUGGGGUGCUCGAGUGGCGAACGGGUGAGUAACACGUGAGUAACCUGCCCUUGACUUUGGGAUAACUUCAGGAAACUGGGGCUAAUACCGGAUAGUAGCUCCUGCUGCAUGGUUGGGGUUGGAAAGUUUCGGCGGUUGGGGAUGGACUCGCGGCUUAUCAGCUUGUUGGUGGGGUAUUGGCUUACCAAGGCUUUGACGGGUAGCCGGCCUGAGAGGGUGACCGGCCACAUUGGGACUGAGAUACGGCCCAGACUCCUACGGGAGGCAGCAGUGGGGAAUAUUGCACAAUGGGCGGAAGCCUGAUGCAGCAACGCCGCGUGCGGGAUGACGGCCUUCGGGUUGUAAACCGCUUUCGCCUGUGACGAAGCGUGAGUGACGGUAAUGGGUAAAGAAGCACCGGCUAACUACGUG